rnacentral:rRNA from 1 species
UAAAGGGCAUCUAGGCGGCCAGAUAAGUCUGGGGUGAAAACUUGCGGCUCAACCGCAAGCCUGCCCUGGAAACUAUGUGGCUAGAGUACUGGAGAGGUGGACGGAACUGCACGAGUAGAGGUGAAAUUCGUAGAUAUGUGCAGGAAUGCCGAUGAUGAAGAUGGUUCACUGGACGGUAACUGACGCUGAAGUGCGAAAGCUAGGGGAGCAAACAGGAUUAGAUACCCUGGUAGUCCUAGCUGUAAACGAUGAUUACUGGGUGUGGGCAUGAAGAGUGUCCGUGCCGAAGCUAAUGCGAUAAGUAAUCCGCCUGGGGAGUACGGCCGCAAGGCUGAAACUCAAAGGAAUUGACGGGGACCCGCACAAGCGGUGGAGCAUGUGGUUUAAUUCGACGCAACGCGAGGAACCUUACCAGAUCUUGACAUCCUGCGUAGGCCUGCGAGAGCAGGCUGUGCCUUCGGGAACGCAGAGACAGGUGGUGCAUGGCUGUCGUCAGCUCGUGUCGUGA